GAGAGGUGGUGCAUGGCCGUCGUCAGUUCGUACUGUAAAGCGUUCUGUUAAGUCAGAUAACGAACGAGACCCUCAUCUCUAUUUGCUACCCGUCUCUCCGGAGGCGGCGCACUAUAGGGAGACCGCUGGUGUUAAACCAGAGGAAGGCGAGGGCAACGACAGGUCAGUAUGCCCCGAAUGUCCUGGGCUACACGCGCGCUACAAAGGACGGGACAAUGGGAAGCCAGGCCGAGAGGCCGAGCUAACCCGAAACCCGUUCAUAGUUCGGAUCGAGGGCUGUAACUCGCCCUCGUGAAGCUGGAUUCCGUAGUAAUCGUGUUUCAAUAUAGCACGGUGAAUAUGCCCCUGCUCCUUGCACACACCGCCCGUCAAACCAUC
rnacentral:rRNA from 1 species